AUUAAUGAAGUUAAGAGUCAUAAACGUAUUUUUUUUUUAUAUUAUUGUUUUUAUAAAAUUAUAACAAUAUACGUUUAUGUAGUAACACUUCAUAUAAUGAUGAAGGUUUUUUCUUUAUUAUAUUAUUCACUUUAUAUAUAAUUAAAGUACAAUCACACAAUAUAAAAAUAAAUGUUUUAUUUAUUCUUUUAUUGUAUGUGAUCAUUGUAUAUAUAUAUAUAUAUAUAUGUAAAUAAUAAUAUAUUAUUUCUAUUUCUUUUUUUUUGUUUUUUUUCCAUCCAAAGGAAAAAAAGAAUAAAGAAAAACCUUAUAAUU